rnacentral:tRNA from 1 species
GCUACAGUGGUGCAACUGGCGAGACACACUCCGCUUAAGACGGAGCGCCUGAAACGAUGGAUUGUUGGGUUCGAAUCCCACCUGUAGCA